rnacentral:rRNA from 1 species
UGAGUACGAGAUGCUACGGCGUCGAAGCAGUGUAUGUCAGGCUUCCAAGAAAAGCUCGCAAUGUCAUAAGUAACUAAUGCCUGUACCAUAACCGACACAGGUGGGUAGGUAGAGUAUACUAAGGGGCGCGAGAUAACUCUCUCUAAGGAACUCGGCAAAAUAACUCCGUAACUUCGGGAGAAGGAGUGCCUUAUUUAUUAAGGUUGCAAUAACAAGAUCCAAGCAACUGUUUAUCAAAAACACAGGUCUCCGCUAAGUCGUAAGACGAUGUAUGGGGGCUGACGCCUGCCCAGUGCCAGAAGGUUAAAGAAGUCGGUUAGCUCUGCGAAGCUGAUAACUGAAGCCCUGGUGAACGGCGGCCGUAACUAUAACGGUCCUAAGGUAGCGAAAUUCCUUGUCGGGUAAGUUCCGACCCGCACGAAAGGCGUAAUGAUUUGGAUACUGUCUCGGAGAGGGACUCGGUGAAAUAGACUUGUCUGUGAAGAUGCGGACUACCUGCACCAGGACAGAAAGACCCUCUGAAGCUUUACUGUAACUUGAAAUUGAAAUUGGACUUUAUUUGCGCAGUAUAGGUGGGAGGCGUUGAGACUAAUCUUGCGGGAUUUUUGGAGCCAUCAGUGAGAUACCACUCCUAUAAUGUUAGAUUUCUAACUUUGUAUCAUGAUCUGGUCAAAGAACAGUUUCAGGCGGGCAGUUUGACUGGGGCGGUCGCCUCCCAAAUGGUAACGGAGGCGUACAAAGGUUUCCUCUGAACGGGUAGAAAUCGUAUCUAGAGUGUAAAGGCAUAAGGAAGCUUGACUGCGAGACUGACAAGUCGAGCAGGUACGAAAGUAGGUCUUAGUGAUCUGGCGAUGCCGAGUGGAAGGGUCGUCACUUAACGGACAAAAGGUACUCCGGGGAUAACAGGCUGAUUUUGCCCAAGAGUUCACAUCGACGGCAAAGUUUGGCACCUCGAUGUCGGCUCAUCGCAUCCUGGGGCUGGAGCAGGUCCCAAGGGUAUGGCUGUUCGCCAUUUAAAGCGGUACGUGAGCUGGGUUCAGAACGUCGCGGGACAGUUCGGUCCCUAUCUGCCACGAGCGUUGGUUGUUUGAGAGGAUCUGUUUUUAGUACGAGAGGACCGAAAUGGACGAACCUCUGGUGUACCAGUUAUCCUGCCAAGGGUAAGUGCUGGGUAGCUACGUUCGGACGGGAUAACCGCUGAAAGCAUCUAAGUGGGAAGCCCCCCUCAAGAUGAGACAACCCUGACUCUUUAAGAGUCCUGAAGGAACCUGGGAGAAUACCAGGUUGAUAGGCCGGCUGUGGAAGUGUGGAAACAUAUGCAGCAGACCGGUACUAAUUUUCCGUGAGGCUUGACCG